rnacentral:piRNA from 1 species
UAUCGUGUCCCUGUUUGCAAAGA